GAUGAACGCUGGCGGCGUGCCUAAUACAUGCAAGUCGAGCGAACAGACGAGGAGCUUGCUCCUCUGACGUUAGCGGCGGACGGGUGAGUAACACGUGGAUAACCUACCUAUAAGACUGGGAUAACUUCGGGAAACCGGAGCUAAUACCGGAUAAUAUAUUGAACCGCAUGGUUCAAUAGUGAAAGACGGUUUUGCUGUCACUUAUAGAUGGAUCCGCGCCGCAUUAGCUAGUUGGUAAGUUAACGGCUUACCAAGGCAACGAUGAGUAGCCGACCUGGUAGGGUGAUCGGCCACACUGGAACUGAGACACGGUCCAGACUCCUACGGGAGGCAGCAGUAGGGAAUCUUCCGCAAUGGGCGAAAGCCUGACGGAGCAACGCCGCGUGAGGGAUGAAGGUCUUCGGAUCGUAAAACUCUGUUAUUAGGGAAGAACAAAUGUGUAAGUAACUAUGCACGUCUUGACGGUACCUAAUCAGAAAGCCACGGCUAGCUACGUG
rnacentral:rRNA from 1 species